rnacentral:rRNA from 1 species
CAGUCGCCGCGGGAAUACGUAGGUGGCAAGCGUUGUCCGGAAUUAUUGGGCGUAAAGGGCUCGCAGGCGGUUUCUUAAGUCUGAUGUGAAAGCCCCCGGCUCAACCGGGGAGGGUCAUUGGAAACUGGGAAACUUGAGUGCAGAAGAGGAGAGUGGAAUUCCACGUGUAGCGGUGAAAUGCGUAGAGAUGUGGAGGAACACCAGUGGCGAAGGCGACUCUCUGGUCUGUAACUGACGCUGAGGAGCGAAAGCGUGGGGAGCGAACAGAAUUAGAUACCCCUGUAGUCCCUGUCUCUUAUAC